rnacentral:rRNA from 1 species
AGAGUUUGAUCAUGGCUCAGGAUGAACGCUGGCGGCGUGCUUAACACAUGCAAGUCGAACGGGGGUCAUUAGGUGGAAGUCUUCGGACGGAAGUUUUUUGACUCGAGUGGCGGACGGGUGAGUAACACGUGAGUAACCUGCCUUUUGCUGGGGAAUAACUGUGGGAAACCAUGGCUAAUACCGCAUGUUGUGUUCACAAGGCAUCUUGUGGAUAUGAAAGGAGCAAUCCGGCAGAAGAUGGGCUCGCGUCCGAUUAGGUAGUUGGUGGGGUAAUGGCCCACCAAGCCUGCGAUCGGUAGCCGGACUGAGAGGUCGAACGGCCACAUUGGGACUGAGACACGGCCCAGACUCCUACGGGAGGCAGCAGUGGGGAAUUUUGGGCAAUGGGGGCAACCCUGACCCAGCGACGCCGCGUGAAGGACGAAGGCCUUCGGGUUGUAAACUUCUUUGGGGAGGGACGAAACUGACGGUACCUCCAGAACAAGCCACGGCUAACUACGUGCCAGCAGCCGCGGUAAUACGUAGGUGGCAAGCGUUAUCCGGAUUUACUGGGUGUAAAGGGCGCGCAGGCGGCCUCGCAAGUCAGGAUGUGAAAGCUCAAGGCUUAACCUUGGAAUGUCAUCUGAAACUGCGGGACUUGAGUAU